rnacentral:rRNA from 1 species
CCAACAGGGAUUGCCUCAGUAACGGCGAGUGAAGCGGCAACAGCUCAAAUUUGAAAUCUGGCCCCAGGCCCGAGUUGUAAUUUGCAGAGGAUGCUUUUGGUGCGGUGCCUUCCAAGUUCCCUAGAACGGGACGCCAGAGAGGGUGAGAGCCCCGUACAGUUGGACACCAAGCCUUUGUAAAGCUCCUUCGACGAGUCGAGUAGUUUGGGAAUGCUGCUCAAAAUGGGAGGUAUAUUUCUUCUAAAGCUAAAUACCGGCCAGAGACCGAUAGCGCACAAGUAGAGUGAUCGAAAGAUGAAAAGCACUUUGAAAAGAGGGUUAAACAGCACGUGAAAUUGUUAAAAGGGAAGCGCUUGUGACCAGACUUGCGUCCGGUGAAUCACCCAGCUCUCGCGGCUGGGGCACUUCGCCGGCUCAGGCCAGCAUCAGCUCGCUGUCGGGGACAAAAGCUUCAGGAACGUAGCUCUCUUCGGGGAGUGUUAUAGCCUGUUGCACAAUACCCUUCGGCGGGCUGAGGUACGCGCUCCGCAAGGAUGCUGGCAUAAUGGUCAUCAGCGACCCGUCUUGAAACACGGACCAAGGAGUCAACCUUAUGUGCGAGUGUUCGGGUGUCAAACCCCUACGCGUAAUGAAAGUGAACGCAGGUGAGAGCUUCGGCGCAUCAUCGACCGAUCCUGAUGUUCUCGGAUGGAUUUGAGUAAGAGCAUAUAGGGUUGGACCCGAAAGAAGGUGAACUAUGCGUGUAUAGGGUGAAGCCAGAGGAAACUCUGGUGGAGGCUCGCAGCGGUUCUGACGUGCAAAUCGAUCGUCAAAUAUGCGCAUGGGGGCGAAAGACUAAUCGA